rnacentral:lncRNA from 1 species
AUGGUCAAUACCAAAAUCAGAUUGAUUAUAUUCUUUGUAGCUGAAGUUGGAGAAGCUCUGUAUAGUCAGAAAAAAACGAGACCUGGAGCUGACUGUGGCUCAAAUCAUGAGCUCCUUAUUGCCACAUUCAGACUUAAAUUGAAGAAAGUAGGAGAAACCACUAGGCCAUUCAGGUAUGACCUAUAUCAAAUUCCUAAUGAUCAUACUGUGGAGGUGAUGAAUAGAUUCAAGGGACUAGAUCUGGUAGACAGAGUACCUGAAGAACUAUGGAUGAAAGUUCAUAUUUUGCAGGAGGUAAUGACCCAAAUUGCCAACAUCUGCUGGAUCAUUGAAAAAGCAAGAGAGUUCCAGAAAAACAUCUAUUUCUGCUUUAUUGACUAUGCCAAAGCCUUUGACUGUGUGGAUCACAAGAAACUGUGGAAAAUUCUUAAAGAGAUGGGAAUACCAGACCACCUGACCUGCCUUUUGAGAAACCUAUAUGCAGGUCAGGAAGCAACAGUUAGAACUGGACAGGGAACAACAGACUGGUUCCAAAUAGGAAAAGGAGUACAUCAAGGCUGUAUAUUGUCACCCUGCUUAUUUCACUUCUAUGCAGAGUACAUUAUGAGAAAUGCUGGGCUGGAAGAAUCACAAGCUGGAAUCAAGAUUGCCGGGAGAAAUAUCAAUAACCUCAGAUAUGCAGAUGACACCACCCUUAUGGCAGAAAGUGAAGAAGAACUAAAAAGCCUCUUGAUGAAAGUGAAAGAGGAGAGUGAAAGAGUUGGCUUAAAGCUCAACAUUCAGAAAACGAAGAUCAUGGCAUCUGGUCCCAUCACUUCAUGGCAAAUAGAUGGGGAAACAGUGGAAACAGUGUCAGACUUUAUUUUGGGGGGCUCCAAAAUCACUGCAGAUGGUGACUGCAGCCAUGAAGUUAAAAGACGCUUACUCCUUGGAAGAAAAGUUAUGACCAACCUAGAUAGCAUAUUGAAAAGCAGAGACAUUACUUUGCCAACAAAGGUCCGUCUAGUCAAGGCUAUGGUUUUUCCUGUGGUCAUGUAUGGAUGUGAGAGUUGGACUGUGAAGAAGGCUGAGCGCUGA